AGCAGCCGCGGUAAUUCCAGCUCCAAUAGCGUAUAUUAAAGUUGUUGCAGUUAAAAAGCUCGUAGUUGAAUUUCGGGAUCAAUACGUCUGUCGUGCCUUUGGUACGUACGGGUGUAAUUGGUUUCUACCUUCUGAGGAUCCUUGAUGUCAUUAAUUUGGUGUCUUGGGGAAUCAGGACUGUUACCUUGAAAAAUUAGAGUGUUUAAAGCAGGCAUGCGCUUGAAUACAUUAGCAUGGAAUAAUGAAAUAGGACGUUCGAUUCUAUUUUGUUGGUUUCUAGGAUCGACGUAAUGAUUAAUAGGGAUAGUUGGGGGCAUUAGUAUUCAAUUGUCAGAGGUGAAAUUCUUGGAUUUAUUGAAGACUAACUACUGCGAAAGCAUUUGCCAAGGAUGUUUUCAUUAAUACAAGAACGAAAGUUAGGGGAUCGAAGACGAUCAGAUACCGUCGUAG
rnacentral:rRNA from 1 species